rnacentral:rRNA from 3 species
UGGGGAAUAUUGGACAAUGGGCGCAAGCCUGAUCCAGCCAUGCCGCGUGAGUGAUGAAGGCCCUAGGGUUGUAAAGCUCUUUCACCGGUGAAGAUAAUGACGGUAACCGGAGAAGAAGCCCCGGCUAACUUCGUGCCAGCAGCCGCGGUAAUACGAAGGGGGCUAGCGUUGUUCGGAUUUACUGGGCGUAAAGCGCACGUAGGCGGACUAUUAAGUCAGGGGUGAAAUCCCGGGGCUCAACCCCGGAACUGCCUUUGAUACUGGUAGUCUUGAGUUCGAGAGAGGUGAGUGGAAUUCCGAGUGUAGAGGUGAAAUUCGUAGAUAUUCGGAGGAACACCAGUGGCGAAGGCGGCUCACUGGCUCGAUACUGACGCUGAGGUGCGAAAGCGUGGGGAGCAAACA